rnacentral:lncRNA from 1 species
CUGCCCACUACUCUUGUUCUACUACUCUUAUCCCACCCAGGUUGAGGACUUCUGGAAAUUUCUUAGACACAACCAUCUGAAGGCAAAAAAGAAAUGGAAUAGGUACUGGAAAAGUUCUUGUAUGAAGAACAAUCAGAGAAUCCUUCAGGACAAAUGCAGAGUUCAAGAAAUUCUUUUGGACAACAGUGGAUGAGCCAAUAAAACUGGGAUACGAACGCUCAUAGCAGCUUUAUUCAACAUCACCCCAUACUAGAAACAACCAUAUACACAUCAGGAGACAAAUGGAAAAACAAAUGUGAUGUGUGAUAUAAUGGAAUAUUAUUUGGUAAUAAAAAAGAAUGAACUAUUGAAUAGGCAACAACAUGUAUGAAUCUCACAAAACUUUACAUUAAGUGAAAAAAUCAGGCAAAAAAGAGUAUAUACUGUACUAUUCCUUUUAUAUGAACUUCUAGAAUUGGAAAAACUAGUCUACAGUGAUGGAAAUCAGAUCAAUGGUAGCCUGGGGCAAGGAGUAAGAGAGACUGCAAAAGGGCACAAAGCAAUUUACUGAGUGAUGGAAAUGUAUAAUUUGAGUGGGGGUGGUAGCUACAAGGGUAUAUACAUAAUCAAAUCUUACCAAAUGUAUCACACUUAAAACAUGUGCAUUUCAUUUAUUUAAAUUAUACCUCAACAGAGUUGGUUUAAAAAUUACGUGCUGGUGGGACAUAAAUUUCUGGUAAACAUAAGCUCUAAACUA